rnacentral:rRNA from 1 species
GACGAACGCUGGCGGCGUGCUUAACACAUGCAAGUCGAACGGAAAGGCCCUGCUUGCAGGGUGCUCGAGUGGCGAACGGGUGAGUAACACGUGGGUGAUCUGCCCCUUAUUUUGGGAUAAGCCUGGGAAACUGGGUCUAAUACUGGAUAGGACCAUGCUGUAGGUGGUGUGGUGGAAAGAUUAGUUUCGGUAAGGGAUGAGCUCGCGGCCUAUCAGCUUGUUGGUGGGGUAAUGGCCUACCAAGGCGUCGACGGGUAGCCGGCCUGAGAGGGAGGACGGCCAGAUCGGGACUCAGACGCGGCCCAGAAGCCUACGGGAGGCAGCAGUGGGGGAUAGUGUAAAAUGGGCGCAAGGCGGAUGCGGCGACGGCGCGUGGGGGGUGACGGCCUUCGGGUUGUAAACUCCUUUCAGCCAUGACGAAGCCCUUGUGGUGACGGUAGUGGAAGAAGAAGCACCGGCUAACUACGUG